UACAGAGGGGGCAAGCGUUGUUCGGAAUUACUGGGCGUAAAGGGCGCGUAGGCGGCCUGCUAAGUCGAACGUGAAAUCCCUGGGCUCAACCCAGGAACUGCGUCCGAUACUGGUUGGCUUGAAUCCGGGAGAGGGAUGUGGAAUUCCAGGUGUAGCGGUGAAAUGCGUAGAUAUCUGGAGGAACACCGGUGGCGAAGGCGGGUCUCUGGGCCGAAACUGACGCUGAGGAGCGAAAGCGUGGGGAGCGAACAGG
rnacentral:rRNA from 1 species